rnacentral:misc_RNA from 1 species
UCCUGGUUUCCCAGGCAGUCCCAUCAGAGUGCUCUACUUAAAGGUAGCAACUGAUAGCAGGGGUUGCGCUCGUUAUAGGACUUAACCCAACAUCUCACGACACGAGCUGACGACAGCCAUGCAGCACCUGUGAUAAUGUCCAGGGUUUCCCCUGAAAAACUACAUCUCUGUAGCGAUCAUUAACAUGUCAAGCCUAGGUAAGGUUUCUCGCGUAGUGUCGAAUUAAACCACAUGUUCCACCGCUUGUGCGGACCCCCGUCAAUUCCUUUGAGUUUUAAUCUUGCGACCGUAGUCCCCAGGCGGAUCACUUAUCGCGUUAGCUACGACACUGGAUUCGCAAGCGAACCCAACGUCUAGUGAUCAUCGUUUACAGCGUGGACUAC